rnacentral:rRNA from 1 species
CCCUUCGAUGUUCUGGGCCGCACGCGCGCUACACUGACGCAAGCAGCGGGUCCCUGCGCCGAGAGGCGUGGGCAAUCCCCAAACUGCGUCGUGAUGGGGCUUGACGAUUGCAAUUAUUCGUCACCAACGAGGAAUUCCUAGUAAGCGCGAGUCAUCAGCUCGCAUUGAUUACGUCCCUGCCCUUUGUACACACCGCCCGUCGCUCCAACCGAUUGAGUGCUCCGGUGAAUUCUCCGGAUGGGCGGCUUGGUCGCAAGGCCCUGUCGCCCAAAAGUUGUGUGAACCUUAGCACUUAGAGAUUGGAGAAGUCGUAACA